GUACUGACGGACGCGCAGCCGGAACGGGAGACGUCCAGCAACCGGGUGGUCAACUGCAGCUGGAACAGGACACACGCGUAGAAGAAGACGCAGGGUAAGUAAUAUAAGCCACAAUAUCAAUGCUGCCCCAGUAUAUGGUUUAAGCACUGCGAAGCUGACAUAUAUGAACUAAACAACAAGCCAAGAGCACAGAAUAAACGUCUGGCUUCAGGCGUGUGGUGUAAGAAACGAGGUGGGACAAGGCCCCUUGAAGGCAUUAUUGAUUACGACAUAAUCAGGGUGCUUUUUACCGACUUGGAAUUACAACUGUGUGGAUGAUGGGUUUUCCAUCUGGGUUUUCGCGAGAGAGCGAGAAAUUUCUGCAGCACGAACCGAAAGCUGGACUUCAGGAGUUCUAGGAGUGCGCCUGUCAUUGGUGGAGGACGACGG